UACGAAGGGUGCUAGCGUUGUUCGGAAUCACUGGGCGUAAAGCGCGCGUAGGCGGCUUUUCAAGUCAGGGGUGAAAUCCCACGGCUCAACCGUGGAAUUGCCUUUGAAACUGUAAAGCUUGAGUGUCGGAGGGGAUAGCGGAAUUCCUAAUGUAGAGGUGAAAUUCGUAGAUAUUAGGAGGAACACCGGUGGCGAAGGCGGCUAUCUGGACGACAACUGACGCUGAGGCGCGAAAGCGCGGGGAUCAAACAGG
rnacentral:rRNA from 1 species